rnacentral:rRNA from 1 species
GACUAACGCUGGCGGCGUGUCUUAGCCAUGCAAGUCGAACGGACCAAGGCUUAGUAGCAAUACUUUUUUUUGGUUAGUGGCGAAUGGGUGAGUAACACGUGAAUAAUCUACCCCAAAGUGGCGGAUAACAGAUUGAAAGAUCUGCUAAUACACCAUAUGCUCACGACCCAUAAGGGUCGCGAGGAAAGGUAGCCUCUGCUUGCAAGCUAUCGCUUUGGGAUGAGUUCGCGUCCUAUCAGCUAGUUGGUGAGGUAAAGGCUCACCAAGGCGAUGACGGGUAGCCGGCCUGAGAGGGUGAACGGCCACACUGGAACUGAGACACGGUCCAGACUCCUACGGGAGGCAGCAGGCUAGAAAAUUGGGCAAUGGGCGCAAGCCUGACCCAGCGACGCCGCGUGAGGGAUGAAGGUCUUCGGAUUGUAAACCUCUGUUAGGAAGGAAAAUGGGGAUAGGUCCCAAUACGGCCUAUUUUUGAUGGUACUUCCAGAGAAAGCACCGGCUAACUCCGUGCCAGCAGCUGCGGUAACACGGGGGGUGCAAGCGUUGUCCGGAAUUACUGGGUGUAAAGGGGAUGUAGGCGGAUGAAUAAGUUAAACGUGAAAACUAAGGGCUUAACCUUUAGCCUGCGUUUAAUACUGUUCAUCUUGAGUUCGGAAGAGGAGAACGGAACUUCCAGUGUAGCAGUGGAAUGCGCAGAUAUUGGAAGGAACACCAGUGGCGAAGGCGGUUCUCUGGUACGUAACUGACGCUGAUCUCCGAAAGCUAGGGGAGCGAACAGGCUUAGAUACCCUGGUAGUCCUAGCCGUAAACGAUGGAUACUAGGCGUUUCCAUUAGGAAGUGCCGACGCUAACGCAUUAAGUAUCCCACCUGGGGAGUACGAUCGCAAGGUUGAAACUCAAAGGAAUUGACGG